rnacentral:lncRNA from 1 species
UUCGCUAGGACAAGGAGGCUGGUGGGUCAAUUCUAAAGCUUAUGGAGUUUGCAAGGGACAGAGUGGAGGACAACAAAAGUGUAGCUGAUCGAUAAUGGAGGGUUGAGGAGCUUUCUGUUGCACAUGAGGACGAUGAUCUUGGAGUCUUGCAAGAAGGUGCUGAGGUCAUCUAGGUUAGGGAUGAUUGGGUUUCACCAUCACUUAUUUGUUUGCUUUUGCUUCUUUUGCAUGUUCACUCAGUUGACUUUAUCCAUGGAAUGGCAUCAAAUUGUUUAUAGAUUCCAAUUAUAUUAAUAAUUUGUUAUAUGUUAUAAUCAUGAGAUGAUAGCCACACAACAUUACACUCUUUUUUUUUUACUUUUCAUAAUGUUCAAACUAGAACAAGGAGGGCAGCCUACAUGAUGAACAAUGCUGCUUGGGGCCAUUGGACUUUGAUCCUUGAUUCUUGCCACUAUUGUACCUAACGAGGUCCAAGAACUUAUCGAUCUUGGUGAGCAGCGGGAGUACUGUAGCAAGUAGAGAUGCACAAGCAGCAAGCUUCUUUGACAACGACGAGACUAUCGUCGGCUAGGGUAGGGAUGUUGGGGUUAUGGGCAUGCAGGUGUAGCGGGCAAGCAGGGUGCCACUGGCGAGCUGGGUUUGGUGCGAUGACGGUGAGCGGUGCAAGUGCGGUUGUUGAGCAGUGCAAGAGCAAUGACGGUCGAGCAAGUCCGAUGUAGUGAUGGCGAGCAGUGCAAGAGAGGUGGCGAUCGCGCAAUGCAGGAGCAACAACGAUUGAGCAAGUCCGGUGCAACGACGACGAGCUUUUGCAUAACUACAACGAUUAAGGUGUACUGUAGGUUCCAUCAAACAUGGGUUUUGUCUCCUGUAAUCUUGUAGUUUUUGCAUAACUACAAGUUGUUCAUUCUUAUCCUUUGUAGUUUUUGUUGUGGCUUUUAUGUUCUAUUAUCAUGUUCAUCUUUUUCCACACCGAGCAUUACACUAAAGUAUAACUGAGAAUGAGAAAUAUAGAUCAUAUUAUUAUUCUAGGUUGCAUCCCGGCACGAUUCACAUCAUCGAGAUUGGCAGCAGGAAGGAAGUACAGAAGGCCAUGUGAUAAGGACCGGUAACACAGCAUUCUGAGGCAACUCGCAUUCAAUGUUCAUCUCGGUGACUCAUGCAUCCAGACAGAAGAAGAUGUUCCUGUCACGAACAGCAGAAUCCGUUCACGAAUUCAUGGUUGCAGAAACUUACUGCACGUUCACCAUUGCUGUGUAGUUGCAGGUAGUGACACUGCAGGAGCUGUUCUUGGUCGAUAGAUGAGUUGUAAUAGAAAUGAU